rnacentral:misc_RNA from 1 species
AGAAAGAUAGUUUUCACCAGUUAACAAAGCACUUACUAAGGUCAGCAACAACCUGCCAUUGGUUUAUAUACAGCUAAAAAUAAUUGACCUGUACGCUCUGCCAAUAAAAAAACAACUUAUGCAGCCUAACUAACCAGCCAGCUAAGCAUAACAACUUCUAAUCCUUAUCCCACCAUUUGCUCAACCAGCACAAAAAUACAUAUACAUAUUCACGAAUAU